GACGAACGCUGGCGGCGUGCUUAACACAUGCAAGUCGAACGGAAAGGCCCUGCUUUUGUGGGGUGCUCGAGUGGCGAACGGGUGAGUAACACGUGAGUAACCUGCCCUUGACUUUGGUAUAACUUCAGGAAACUGGGGCUAAUACCGGAUAGGAGCUCCUGCUGCAUGGUGGGGGUUGGAAAGUUUCGGCGGUUGGGGAUGGACUCGCGGCUUAUCAGCUUGUUGGUGGGGUAGUGGCUUACCCAGUCUUUGACGGGUAGCCGGCCUGAGAGGGUGACCGGCCACAUUGGGACUGAGAUACGGCCCAGACUCCUACGGGAGGCAGCAGUGGGGAAUAUUGCACAAUGGGCGGAAGCCUGAUGCAGCAACGCCGCGGGCGGGAUGACGGACUUCGGGGUGUAAACAGCUUUCGCCUGUGACGAAGCGUGAGUGACGGUAAUGGGUAAAGAAGCACCGGCUAACUACGUG
rnacentral:rRNA from 1 species